GAUGAACGCUGGCGGCGUGCUUAACACAUGCAAGUCGAACGAAGCGCUUUUAUUUGAUUUCUUCGGAAUGAAGAUUUUAGUGACUGAGUGGCGGACGGGUGAGUAACGCGUGGGUAACCUGCCUCAUACAGGGGGAUAACAGUUAGAAAUGACUGCUAAUACCGCAUAAGACCACAGUACCGCAUGGUACAGGGGUAAAAACUCCGGUGGUAUGAGAUGGACCCGCGUCGGAUUAGGUAGUUGGUGGGGUAACGGCCUACCAAGCCGACGAUCAGUAGCCGACCUGAGAGGGUGACCGGCCACAUUGGGACUGAGACACGGCCCAAACUCCUACGGGAGGCAGCAGUGGGGAAUAUUGCACAAUGGGGGAAACCCUGAUGCAGCGACGCCGCGUGAGCGAUGAAGUAUUUCGGUAUGUAAAGCUCUAUCAGCAGGGAAGAAAAUGACGGUACCUGACUAAGAAGCACCGGCUAAAUACGUGCCAGCAGCCGCCGUAAAAC
rnacentral:rRNA from 1 species